AACGAACGCUGGCGGCAGGCUUAACACAUGCAAGUCGAACGCAUCGCAAGAUGAGUGGCAGACGGGUGAGUAACGCGUGGGAACAUACCCUUUUCUACGGAAUAGCUCUGGGAAACUGGAAUUAAUACCGUAUACGCCCUACGGGGGAAAGAUUUAUCGGGGAAGGAUUGGCCCGCGUUGGAUUAGCUAGUUGGUGGGGUAAAGGCCUACCAAGGCGACGAUCCAUAGCUGAUCUGAGAGGAUGAUCAGCCACAUUGGGACUGAGACACGGCCCAACCUCCUACGGGAGGCAGCAGUGGGGAAUAUUGGACAAUGGGCGCAAGCCUGAUCCAGCCAUGCCGCGUGAGUGAUGAAGGCCUUAGGGUUGUAAAGCUCUUUCACCGAUGAAGAUAAUGACGGUAGUCGGAGAAGAAGCCCCGGCUAACUUCGUGCCAGCCGCCGCCGUAA
rnacentral:rRNA from 1 species